AUUGAACGCUGGCGGCAUGGCUAAAACAUGCAAGUCGAACGACCCCUGCGGGGGGAGUGGCGAAAGGGCGAGGAAUACGAUCGUACGUACCCCGAGGUGGGGGAUAGCGUUGGGAAACCGGCGGUAAUACCCCAUGUCCUCUACGGAGAAAAGGUUUACCGCCUUGGGAGCGGCGAUCGUCCUAUCAGGUUGUUGGUGAGGUAAAGGCUCACCAAGCCGAAGACGGGUAGCGGGUGUGAGAGCAUGACCCGCCGCAUCGGGACUGAGACACUGCCCGG
rnacentral:rRNA from 1 species